AACUAAUUAGACUUUGAGUGAUC
rnacentral:piRNA from 1 species